AUGUCAGAAAAGAUUUCUCUGCUGCACCCCUUUUAAUAAAAGGCCAGGGCCAAGAGAACCUCCCGGGAAAAUGUUUCAAAGCCUUUCAAUGAAGAAUUCCGGAAUACAGAGCUUCUUCCCAUACAGAACACUCAUUUCCCUUAAGAUAUGAGUUGCUAUCUCUAAUUCUUUUUGGAAAGAGGAACUGCUGCAAGGCCCACAGCAGCCGUGGGUGAAGUGGCUCUGGGGUUGGGGUAAGUGACCCGCCCAUGCACCCCAGAAGGACAACUGGCAGCCUGAUCUCGGAGCAGCAGCUACAUUCAGCCUAGCAGAGGACCCUGGGGGGUGACAGGCAACGGAUUAUGCCAAUGAAAGGCCCUAAACUAGAGCUGGCUGAGGUGCUGUCGGCCACCUUGCUAGUAAGACAAGGCAGCAGAAUGAAGUGGCAACAGCGUUGGCCGGGUACCUGGCAUCCCAGUGUGCUAGCUACAUGUCAUCUUCACAGGUGUCGUAAUGUCUCUGGGCUCAGAUGCCACACCAGCAAAAUGCAGAUUAUACAUGAGUUAGGCCAAGGCCCAGACUGUAAUAGUUUCUCAGGAAUUAUAGUCCUUCUUAAAUAAAUGCAGAAACAUUUCACAUUCAUAGAUUGGAAGCCUCGAUGUUAUUAAGACAGCAGUUCUGCCCAACGUGAUCUGUAGAUGCAACAUAAUCCCUAUGGAAAUCCCAGCAGGCUUUUCUUUUUUUUCCAGAAUUUUUUCAGUGGUUGUCAAUCUUGCUGCACAUUGGAAUCACUUGUGGGAAGUCACAAGAACGCAGAUGCCUAAUCCCGGCCUCACGGGCUCAGAUUUAAAACAGGGCUAAUGCUGCCUAGCUCACGGGGUGGUGGUGAGCUCUAGAAUGAGUUAAAGGACAUGGAGUUUCCUAGUGCAGGGUCCUGCAUGUUUGCAGCUAAUGCUGGUUUCCUUUCUGAGAUUCGUAUGCUCUUUUACUCCCACGAACUCUCGUAUUGGUAAGAAUCGAGGCAGAGCUUAAAGGCUCUCUGUAGCAUUCCAAAUAGCAAUGGUUCUUCUCCUUUCUAUAGUGUUGCAUGUGGAAAGCCUUGCCUCCUCUAGAUUAUUGCCCUGCGAGAUGUUUUUCAAAAGAGGAAAAUGAGGCCCCAUGAGAUUAGACAAGCUGCUGGAAGGCGGAUGAGCCCAGACUUGAGGUUCUCUGCAGGUCUCAUCCAGGGCUGUCUGCAUUAAAUGCGCAGCUGCCAUCGUGAAAGGUGUAUUAGAAGCCUGCUCUGACCACUCCAGUUCCCUUGGCCAGGGUCUUGCCUAAAAUGAAUGCAUAGUAUGUUAGGUAGUUAUGCGGGUGACUCUCUUGCAUGCAAUACAUCGGAAGUUGUUCCGAUUGAUAAAAAGCAAUUUUGGCCAGGCGCGGUGGCUCACGCCUGUAAUCCUAG